UACGUAGGGUGCAAGCGUUGUCCGGAAUUAUUGGCGUAAAGGAGCUACGUAGGCGGUCUGUCGCGUCGGCUGUGAAAACCCGGGGCUCAACCCCGGGCCUGCAGUCGAUACGGGCAGACUAGAGUGCGGUAGGGGAGACUGGAAUUCCUGGUGUAGCGGUGAAAUGCGUAGAUAUCAGGAGGAACACCGGUGGUGUAAACGGCUUUCUGGACCAUAACUGACGCUGAGGCACGAAAGCGUGGGUAGCAAACAGG
rnacentral:rRNA from 1 species